rnacentral:rRNA from 1 species
AUACGUAGGGGGCGAGCGUUGUCCGGAAUGAUUGGGCGUAAAGGGCGCGUAGGCGGCGCGGUAAGUCUGGAGUGAAAGUCCUGCUUUCAAGGUGGGAAUUGCUUUGGAUACUGCCGCGCUUGAGUGCAGGAGAGGUUAUCGGAAUUCCCGGUGUAGCGGUGAAAUGCGUAGAGAUCGGGAGGAACACCAGUGGCGAAGGCGGGUAACUGGACUGCAACUGACGCUGAGGCGCGAAAGUGUGGGGAGCAAACAGGAUUAGAUACCCUGGUAGUCGACACUGUAAACGAUGAAUGCUAGGUGUAAGAGGUAUCGACCCCUUUUGUGCCGGAGUCAACACAAUAAGCAUUCCGCCUGGGGAGUACGGCCGCAAGGUUGAAACUUAAAGGAAUUGGCGGGG